rnacentral:lncRNA from 1 species
AGAAGGUCACUGGACGGGGCGGUGUAGAUCAUUAGCUGCAAAACACCUGGGCUUAUUCUGGAUUGGGUGCUCACCCAAUGCGAUUCAGUUUUUUGGUGUGUUUAGUUUUACAGUGUGUUGCAGCUCACUCUUUUUGUUUUGCAGCUCACUCUUUUUUGUUUUGUAGCUCACUCUUUUUUAUUCUGGAAAUCAUUUACAGUACACUUAGUAAGAAAAGAGAAGAGAACAUCGAUGUUCAUUUGAAGUUUACUUUGUUGUUUAUGGGAAACACAGAGAGAAAAAGGGUAGUAAGAAUGCAUGGUCAUAUUUAAUAAGCAAGUCUUUGCCUAGUGCAGUUCUGUUGGGUACUGCUAUUGCAUCAUUGAUUCUGCUGUGUACUAGAUGGUUGUGUCACUGU